rnacentral:rRNA from 1 species
AGAGCGAACGCUGGCGGCAGGCCUAACACAUGCAAGUCGAACGGACUCUUCGGAGUUAGUGGCGGACGGGUGAGUAACACGUGGGAACGUGCCUUUUGGUUCGGAAUAGCUCCUGGAAACGGGUGGUAAUGCCGAAUGUGCCCCCUCCUUUGAUCGGGGGGGUGGAAAGAUUUAUCGCCAUUAGAGCGGCCCGCGUCUGAUUAGCUAGUUGGUGAGGUAAAGGCUCACCAAGGCACGAUCAGUAGCUGGUCUGAGAGGAUGACCAGCCACAUUGGGACUGAGACACGGCCCAAACUCCUACGGGAGCAGCAGUGGGAAUCUUGCGCAAUGGGCAAAGCCUGACGCAGCCAUGCCGCGUGAAUGAUGAAGGUCUUAGGAUUAGUAAAAAUACUUUCGAACCGGGACGAAUAACGACGGUAACCCGGAAGAAGAACGACCCCGGCUAACUUCGUGCCAGCAGCCGC